rnacentral:lncRNA from 1 species
GCAAGACAGAGGCAGGACUGGGAAGACGAGAGGUGGGCUUCGUUCCUGAGAAUAUCCAGGAGUCCAAGAGAUCUAAAUUGGAAGAUGGCCUUCCAAUUUAGGUCAGUUUCCAAUUUAGAAGGCCAGGUUUUUAUGAAGCAAUAUUUGUCAAGAAUUCAACUAUCAACUUGCUGGUCCUCUACUUCCCGAAACUCUCCAGCCUACAUUUCUUCCUCUUCUUCGGUUUCUAAACUCAAACUGACUUUGGAAUGAAAGGGAGCAGCUGCUGAGGUAGGAAGGUCGGAGGUGGCCAAAGCCCUCCAAAAGCCUCUUUUCUGGAAGCUCCGCUGCCAAGGGCUCGACUGGAGUCCCAGGACAUAUUCAGAGGCCGCCAGACCCCUGCAUGGAGGCCCCUCCCUUGCAGCUCCUGGUUACCAUGAUUGAAUGAUGUCCUGCAGCUCCGAGCCUCAGCCACCUAUGUUGUCAAGGUUUCCUCUGUGAAAGCAUCCAAAAACUCUGCCAGCACCUUCUUCUUUCCUUUUUUGUUUUCCUACCAGGGCCAGGCCAGGCUCUGCUGGCCAUUUCCGAUUAAGCUCCUCAGAAGGCAUAGAGCCACUCACACUCAGAAUUAUUUAAAAUAACACUAGACUGCAAAUUCCCUAAAUAUCCAUCAGAAAUAAAUGGAUGCAUAACAUUGGGUGAAAGAAGCCAUACACAA